rnacentral:rRNA from 1 species
GACGAACCGUGCGAACGUUAUUCGGAAUCACUGGGCUUAAAGGGCGCGUGAGGCGGGCCGCCGAGGUCCGGGGUGAAAGCCUCCAGCUCAACUGGAGAAGUGCCUUGGAUACCGGCGCCUCGAGGGAGGCAGGGGCGUGCGGAACUUCGGGUGGAGCGGUGAAAUGCGUAGAUAUCCGAAGGAACACCGGUGGCGAAAGCGGCGCGCUGGACCUCUUCUGACGCUGAGGCGCGAAAGCCAGGGGAGCAAACGGG